rnacentral:lncRNA from 1 species
GCCCAACCUUCUGCUAAGCAUUUAAAUAUACUCCAAAGCCUAGCAAGUGGCUCCAACAGGUCUCAGGAGACUUCCUUAUCACACUCUUAAAAGUGAUUUGGGCCUUCCCAGAAGCUUGGACUGUUGAUUGCCUACACAGUAUUGCAGUCUCAAGGGCAUACAUCCAAUUCAACCCCUCCAUCUCUCCCUUUCCAGAUCUUCUCACCCACAGCUCCUCUAACACCAGACCCCACGGAGCUGCAAGAACUCUAGUUUCCAAGCUGAGAUUUGACUCAACUCUCAACUCUCAUGCUCCCCUGGCCUGCAUCUCUGCCAUGAGUCAAGUACCAGAGCAGCUGUGCCUUUUAUUGGGAAUCUCUGUCCUAACAGUCAUCCUCGUCUUCAGUGUACCAUCCAAAUGGGGCUGGACAAAGCCUCCACAGAGGCCCAUGCAGAACUUGAUUGUAAGACCCAGUUGCUGAAGAUACCAUACACAUGGUUACAGGACACGGAAAAACCAGUAACAACUAGAAAACCUCCCUGCUGGCCAGCUCUCUUAUACUGGAAGGGGCUGUGCAUAGUAUCAAACUGCUGUCUAAAUUUGUAUCUCUCUAAAUACAAAGUUGCCCAGC